rnacentral:lncRNA from 1 species
AAUAAAUCAAUACUAAUAAGCAAGUAGUACGAUGAAGAGCAAGGCAUCAAAUAAAGAUAGCCACAUCCAAGCUAGCAACUUCAUAGUCUUCCCCAUGUAUCAGAUAACAUACUCCUUGAAUGGCUCAGAAUAAGGCAUUAGGCACAGGUUCAAAGUAACAUUUGCAUCAAGACCAUGUAGCAGAUGAACUCAAGUGGAUCUCAAUACUCGCAUCAGAUGAAAAUUCAAAUCACAAGAACUUGGUUUCAGAAAUGUUGGCAUUGGCCAAGUCCUUUUGCAUAGGGAAUGUUGCCUAAUUCUAAGUCCAAAGCUCAGAUCAAAUCCAACAGUCCACACAUUUGCAUAGGGAAUGUUGCCUAAUUCUAAGUCCAAAGCUCAGAUCAAAUCCAACAGUCCACACAAACAUUUUUUAGGGGUUUUUGUUGUUUAUUAAGUAUUUUAAGGUCCUAAGACCAUAAGCACAAACAAAAUAAUACAAACAAGUAUAUACAAUUAUAAUAUAUGGGGGGAGACUUACAAUCUCAUUUACUAGAAUGUUAUGCCUUUGGGUCAAAAUUUAGCGUUAUGUCAAGCAAUCGUAAUUGGACUUAUGUAGAAGUCACAACUAUCUGAGGCGGGGCAAUAGAAAUUUUGGUGUUAAUGCAUGUUAGAGAUAUGGUAUAAUGAACCAUACUCCUAAAACAUACCACACACAAAAAGAAAAAUGAUCAAAGGAUGAACCUAAUCUUUGAAGGAGAAUUGCCAUCCAAGGCGCAACAGAAUUUAAAAAUUUCUCCAUUUAGUGAUCCUUAAGAAUGGGCAUGAUCAGUGAUAGAAUCGUUACCUCUUGUGGCGAUUCAAACCUUUGGUGCAGAUCUCUUGUAACGAUCAAAACCUUGGAAUACAAAUCCACGGAGCGAUCACGAACGUUGAACGAUGACAACGUCUCUACUCAGUCCACACGAACGGUUCCUUCAAUCUCAGUGCUGCUGGUACGAAUGAAGGCUUUGAGUGAGAGAGAGAGAGGGAAACGAAAUUCCAAGUCUUCACUUGAGUUUGAGUCUGAGUGACAAUGCUCUACCCAAGGGUUCUAUUUAUAGAACACUUGUGUGAGAUUCAAGCUAAAAAGCCCACUUAAGUGUAUUUUGGCCCAUAUCUCAUAAUAUGCCAAAAUCACUUAAGUAUUUGGUAACCCUUACGCAUAUUUCGUACUCCACUUAAGUGCACCGUACCUUACGAUGUUCCUUAGUUACUCUAUCUCUCAUCAAUCCGUCCUUUGUGUGUGACCCUGUAGGUUUUCGUGACGUUGGCAAUUAUAUUAAAUCACACAUUUAGCAUAAUAAACAGUGAGCGGUAUCUAGCAACACGUCACUGCUACCCAAGUCACGGAAAUGUCAUGUGAUCUGACAAAUCCUUCUGUGAUAAUAAUUAUGUGUAUAAUUACCCCUUUGCCCUUAUGUCUAUAUUGAACACAAGGUAUAGAUCGUGUCAUCCUUGUCUAGUUCAAUAUUGGGCCCAUAGACAUUUAUCCUGUUACGCAGGAUGGGCAAAUUCCAUCUAGGUCACUCAUGUUCCUCAGCAUGCUUCGUAGAGUACCCAUCAACUGUCUUUAUGGUUAUCCAGUUACGGACAACGUUGGAUUAGCAACAAAGCGCUCGACUCUACAUCUAGGGUCCAUAGUGGUUUCAGGUCGAAGAGUGGUAUACACCAUUAUCACCAUGAGAAUAACUUAUGACACUUUGCAUAACUUUUUAUAUAGUAUUCUCAUAGCGGGUCAAUCCGGUAUAAAUAUUACUCUUAAUAUUCAUACCUAUGUUUAAGACUUGAUAACUCUUUAUCCAUGAUCCAUGAGAUGUGAUCAUUAGUCUACAAACAUAAUAGUCUUAAUGCUUUAAUGUUAUCCCACUUCACAAUAAAGCUCGACUACGGAUACUUUAAGAAUAACGUCCUUAUGUUUAAUGUGAUCUCAUGAUUAAGUCAUACUUGAUACAUUAAAUGGACUAGCUAUUCUAGGGACUUUAUUAAUCAAACAUAAUAAAGAAAAUGCCUUUUAUUAUUAAUAAAUAAUUCGAUACAAGUACCAAAAGUAUUGGCCUCUAGGGCUUACACCAACAAUCUCAUCCAUACUUGUAUUGGUUCAUCUAACACAAAGUUAUUGAUGAACCGAUUAGCCUUAGGAUAUUGAGAUGUCAUUGGUCAAUGAGAGGGAUGGGAAAGAAUGGGAUUGAAGAUGAAGAGGAAGGGGAAAUGAGACAAACACAAAUUGGUCAUGGGAGGAAUUUUAUCAAAUUAAAAUCAUUCAUUCAUUUUGGUAGAUGAAAUGUACAUUUCAUCAAUCCCCUAAAUCCAAUGAUUUUAAUCCAACAAAAGUCAAAUCAACCUUGACCAAGGCCCAAACACAUAAUAAAACUUCACAAGUCAAUAAAAAUGGCUCAACAUAAUUUUCACACAAUUAAACAAUUAAAAAUCAAAUUAAAAUGCAUUAAAUUAAAUUAUGUUUGAUCAAAAACCUAAAACCUCUUCAAAACACAAAAUAAAUGGCCAACAGAUUUAUCAUAGGUCAAACAGGAUCAAAGGACCUUGGAGAAAAAAUUUCAUUAUUUUUGAAAAGUCAAAAGUAUUUUUGAAUAAUUAAAAAUAUGCACAAAAAUAAUUAAAUCAUGAAAAAUAUCAAUAUUGAUCCAAAAAAUAAUUUUAAUUCAGAAAAUGAAAGAGAAAAAUAUUUGAAUUUUUUUUGGUGAAAGUACCAUAUUUUUUUGAUCAAUAAUGAAAUUAAUAUGAAUUAAUUAAAAAUAAGCAAUUAAAAGGAAAAUUCAAAAAUUCAAAAAUUCAAAAAAACGUGGACCAUCUGAUCUCCCUCAUUAAUUGAGGUGGCAAAUCAGAUGGUGAUCAGCGUGCGUUCCACAUGUGCCUUGGUCAACUGAGAUGCACGCGUGGUAAUCAGAACUAACGCAUGAGAUUAAAACAGUUGAACAGGAUCAUGUGGUUGGGAAGCAAGACACCUCAUCACCGGAGCAAGAACUCUAGUCUUCUUCUCCGGUGGAUCUCACCGGACUGGUCCACCACCAACCAUCACCAAAAUGAAAAAGUAAGACAUGGAUUUAAAGAAAAAAUGCUCAGGAGCUCGAAUCUGGCCUGAAUUUUGUCCAGUUCCAAGUAUAUGAAAAGAUAAAGGGAGUUGAAAUUUGAGGAUCAUGAUCUGAUUUGCUUCAAUUUGACCUCAAAGCAACUGAAUCUUGUUUCCUACAUUGGUAGGACUUCAGCAAACCAAAAAUCAACAAGAAUAGUGGAGAAUUGACAGAGAAUCGAAGAGAAGAAGUUGCUGAAGAUGAUUUGAAUUGCUUGAUCUGACUUCCAAUUUGGCUUGGCUUGACUCUAGAAGCUUGCAGAAGAUGAUUUGAAUGGUUAAAAGGCUUGAACUCUUGGAAUUUCAAUCCUAAAACAUAAGGAGAAUUGAAACUCGAUUUCUCAAGAAACCUUCAAGAUUAUCCUUUCAAUGGGGUUUGGGGAGGAGAGGGUUGAAGCUUGGGCCAGAGGGAUCCCAUUCUUGAUCACCAAGGGUUCUAUUUAUAGCCAAUGUGAAUGAUAUUUGCACACUUCCAAAUGUGGUAAAUUUUCAAAUUCUCCCUUGCAUGGAUGCAUGGGCAUGCAUUAGGCCCAUGAAAUGAUGUAUUCUAAUCCAUAAUCCAAUGUACUUCAUGCUGAAAUCAUGUUACAAGCUCAUGCAAAUGUAUAUGAAAAGUGGAACUUGAAAUUAUCCAAAUGACACCUUAACUUACACCCAUGCGCAAGUCCCUCAAUUUUAAUACAAAUGAGAUGAUCUUGAAUGUUUUCGAAAGGUGAGAUCAAGCGGAACAACUUUCAUGUUGAACACUUUUUCAUUUGAAGCUUGGAUUAUGAUGAAUUUUGAGGUGGAAGUUUGGGAAAUCAAACAUGUUUAAAACAUUUCCAAGUCCCAAGCCAAAUGUUCACUUCUUCCACCUUGAAUAACUUUUUCUAUGGACUUCAAAUGAGAAAAGUUCCUUCAUCAAAAUUGUAUAUAAUUCAAACCUAUUUAAUUUGGUCACAAAUUUGACCUCAUUUGGAUUUGGCAUGAAGGAGUUAUGCAUUUUAAAGUUAAGGAAAAUCACUUGUUCAAUGGCAUUAGCCCAAAAUGACCUAUAAUGUUUCCUCUUGGCACAUGAAUUUUCAAGUUGAAUUUGCACUUCCUCCAAACAUAAAAGUUGAAGUACACAUUGUGAAAUUGAUCAUGGAAUUUUAAUGGACUUCAUCUUAUAAAAAAUGAGCAAGUUAUGACCUUGGAAAGUUGACCUCCAAACUAGGGCUUAGACAAAAUGAUCUAUAAUCGUUCACUAUAAAAAAUGACUUUCCAAGCAAAAAUAGCUGUAGACCUCAACAUGAAAGUUGUUUGUAAUGUCACUUAGAGUAACGUUGCUCUUGGAAUCCUUUUCAUAUGACAAAUAUUGUAGGAGAUAGGGUCUAGGGAACCCUAGUUUUGACCAGUUGACUUUCUCUGGUCAACCACCAUGAACCAACUUGAUAGCUUGACAUUAUCUUGACCUUUGGGACUCAUGGAGGAUCAUAUAUGCAUAAUAUUAUGUAACAUGAAGUAUCCCUUGAAAUAUUUGAUCACUUGUUGAAGAAGUCACACAAGAUACCCAGAUGAAUUAGGGUUUCCAAAGCAAAUCAACUCCAAACUCUUGAUGAUAUCUUGAUCAAAAUAACAUGUGAAGAUCAUGGAGAAUCAUAUAUGACACUUAGAGCCAAAGUGAACCAUUUAUUGAUUGAGCUCCUUGCAUUGAGGGUCUUAAACUCUAGGUAUGAGCUUGAUAAAGCAUAGGUUAGCAUACACACUAUCUACAAAAGCAACAAACUAUACAUUGACAUAUUUUUGGUAUUUUGGUUGGUAAAUAAUGAAAAAAUAAAGUAUGAUACAAUCAAUAGUGCUUGGUGAUCUCUCCCAAUGCAAACCCAAUGAAUGAGGGAUAAGGAGGAUACCAAGGUGUGAUCCCAAUGCUAAUGCAUGUGAUGAGAUAGCAUGAGGGAUCUUAGGGUCAAAAUUGGGGUCUUACAACUUCCAUAUCAAGAUGAGUUCUUGUUAACUUCUGCUUGACCGACGAACAUUCUUUCUUUAACGGCAAUCUAUGUUCCACAAUCUCAGAAUCUAGACCAGGCAUGUCUUGAUAGGACCAGGCAAACACAUCAGAAUACUCAUGAAGAAGAUCAAUCAACCUCUUCUUAGCUCUUGGAUACAGUUGAGACCCAAUCUUGACUUCUUUCACAUCAUCGUCGGAACCCAAGUUGAUUAAUUCAAUCUGCUCUUCAAACGGCUGAAUGGCUUUUUCCUCGUGCUCAAGCAAAUGAGAUAACUCAUCAGAUACUUCUUCAUCAUCAAUCUCCUUCUCAGCUUUAAACAUAAGGAAAUCAAAGUUUGAAGAGGAUGUAGGAUCAUUAUAUUCAAUGGGUUUGAGAACUAACCUGCAUAAUGAUUUGAUAUUUUGAUUUCAUAGAAGUGGAGUGCAAACAAAUAUUAUGCAGAUGGAAAGAUUAUUAUUUAUUUAUGUUUUUUUAUGAUUACUAUUUUCAGAAAAAGAAAAAAGUAAAAAUAAAACAUCAUUGACGUGGAUGAAUAAAAUUGUACUUAAUUGAUGAUAAUAAGAAAAUGCCUAACAAUGUUCACUUCUCCCUUAGGUAUAGGAGAAGGAUUUUUAUUAAAAUAAAUGAAAACAAAUUACUUAGAAUGGUGUGUAACAACAGGAACAUCAACAACAAUCCAGUUAUUGUAAGUCUGGCCAUGUGUCACAAAGUCGGAGCAAGCUUCGUCUUCAUCACUGUCUUCAAUAAUGGUAGCUGAGUGUUGAUCAUCCUCAUGAAUGAACCCUCCACUGCGGAAAAUUGGUUGCAUAACCUUGACAUUGGUGUUGAAUGGACCUUUCUGAAAUCCCAGCCCUGCUCUGUUCUUAUUCUCAACGAUUUCCACAACAUGGCUCAACUUAUCAAUACUGUUAGUAUGAAUAGCCUCUUACGCAUCUUUUAAAGAAGACAUGGGCGCCCCAACUUUCUUCAAUUCAUCAUCAAUAGAAAAAUCUUGGAAUGGAGUUCCAACUUCCUCCUCAGCAUCAACAUAAAUAAAAGAUGAUAAAUGGCUCACCAACAAUGCCUUCUCUCCACCACCAACAACAAGCUUGUCGUUCUUCACAAAUUUUAGCUUUUGGUGUAAAGUAGACAUCAUAGCUCUAACUUCAUGAAUCCACGGCCUUCCCAACAAGAAGUUAUAGGCCGGGUGAAUAUCCAUAACUUGAAAAGUAAUUUAGAAAUCACCCAGACCUAUCUUAACCGACAUAUCCACUUCUCCAAUGACAGUUUUACGAGAACCGUCAAACGCUUUAACAACUACGCCACUACACCUCAUUUGGGCGCCUUGAUAGGAGAUUCUUGCUAGAGUUGAUUUUGGCAACAUAUUCAGUGAUGAACCUGUAUCAUCCAAAAUAUUGGACAGGGCGUCCUUAUUGCAAUUCAUCGAAAUAUGGAGCCCCAAAUUGUGAUUUCUACCUUCCUCAGGAAGUUCUUCGUCACAAAAACUCAAAUUGUUACAAGAAGUGAUGUUGGUAAUAAUAUGGUCAAAUUGAUCCAUAGUAACAUCGUGCUCCACAUAAGCUUGUUCCAACACUUUCUGCAAUGCCUCUAUCUAUGUGCCUCAAAAUUCACCAGCAAUGACAACACAUAGAUUUUUGACGAGGUUUGGAGUAACUGCUUUACAAUGUUAAAUUCACUCCUUUUAAUCAAGCGCAACACUUCAUCAUCAUCAUUAGUCUUCAACUUGCUGGAUUCACCAGUCUGACAUGUUGGAGCACUAACUGGAUUAACUGCAGGAAUCUCUACCUUCUUACUCAUGGAAACAUAUUCCGCAACUUUUAGAAAUACUGGACUGAACACCCGACCACUAUGGAUCACCUUCGCAACAUCUACAAUAUUCACCACUGAGUCUGGAACUGGAAGAGGAACCUCUUGACCAUUCUCUAUCAUAGUGGCAUUAUACUGGUAUGGCAUAACUUUAUCGGAUGAGUAGGGGACGGGGUCCGCUAACCGUAUAACUAACGGCGAUACUGAUAUGUUGACAUUAAUGUUGUUGCUUCUAUCAUACUGAAUAACUACCUCCUCAUGGGUCUUGAACACCGACACUAUCACAUUCACAUCAUUACCCAUGUACCUUGACUACUGAACUUGGAUACCAUUCUCAUCCAUUAAUCUUUGAAUAUCUCUUUUGACAAUUACACAACCACGAGGAUUCACACUACAAAUGACACAACCAUCAUGGUCAUGUUCACAAUGGCUCACCUUGCACAAAUCCUUAUGGAUCUCCACCAAAGACCUACGGAUACGACGUACAUCAAAUACCCUGAAAUUCCCCGGAUAAUCGUCUACCAUGUUCACUGAGGCAUUACCACAAAGAGGUAACAGGUUUGCUUUGACAUUCGGAGCUCUGUCCUCAAAGGACACCAUACCACUCUUGACAAGCUUCUGAACUUCAUAUUUCAGCGGAUAACAGUUCUCAAUAUCAUGAACAGGAGCUCCCUGGUGAAAAGCGCAAUGAAGGUCAGGUUUGAACCACCAUAGCAAGGGCUCAAGAAUUUGAGGAGGGUUCCUUGGCUGGAUAAGAUUCUUAACGACCAAAGACGGGUACAACUCUACAUAUGUCAUGGGAAUAGGGUCAAAAGAUACCUUCUUCCUAUCAAAUUUUUGUUGAUGAUUAUUGUUAUUGUAGUAGUUUGUUCUUUGUUGCGGUUGUUGUUGAAUUGAAACUGAUUGAUUGAUUGAAUUGUUGGAAAAAACUAGAAUCACUGAUGAUACCUGAUGUUGAUGCUAACGGGAUUGAGAACUCUUCCUUACAUGAGGCCUUCUCUACCUCCCAACUGAUACUGCAUUAGUUUCUCCUUCCUUCUUCUUGGAGAAGCUACCACCAUACUUCUUGCUUGUUGUUGCUUCAUCUUUGGAUAGACGCCCUUCCUAGGCUCCUUCUUCCAAUCUCAUCCCCAUGUUUACCAUCUCGGUAAAAUCAUUGGGGGCACUUGCAAUCAUACGCUCAUAAUAAAAUGAACUCAGCGUCUUUAAGAAAAUUUUGGUCAUCUCUUUUUCUUCCAAAGGUGGAAUAAUCUGAGCAGAUAACUCCCUCAAUCUCUGGGCAUAUUCUUUAAAUGUAUCUUUGUUCUUCUGAGACAUAAUCUGGCGCCAUAUCAACAUUAUACUUGUACUUUUUAACAAACGCCUCAUCCAAGUUAUUGAAAGUACGAAUGCUAGCACUGUCCAAGCCCAUGUACCAUCUGGGGGCAGCUCCAGCCAGACUAUCUUGGAAGUAGUGAAUAAGCAGCUGAUCAUUAUCAGUUUGAGUAAACAUUUUCUUGGCAUACAUAACAAGAUGGAUCAAUGGACAAGUAUUCCCUUUGUAUUUUUCAAAGUCUGAGACCUUGAAUUUCACCGAAAUUUUGACAUUGGGAACCAAACACAGCUCGACAACACUCUUCCCAAACAAAUCCUUUCCUCUCAGAGUCUUCAAUUCCUUGCGCAGAUCAAGAAACUAAUCCUUCAUCUCAUCCAUCUUCUCAUAUACAUCUGGACCUUCAGAUGGCUCAGAGUGGUAAAUAGUUUCCUCGACACGAGGAAGAGUGUGAAUAAUACGAGGAGGCACUGACAUGACCGGGCUAGAUGCCGACACAUAAGCAAAAGUUGGCGCAUAUCCUUCAGGUACAAAGUUCGGUGGAAUUCCCCAAGGGAACCCAACAAACAUAGCAGGAACAGACUGGCUGGCAGCAAUAAUAGGCACAGAUGGUGAAGCAAUCUCUGAAGUAACAGUCCUUUGAGGAAGAGGAGUUUUCGGAGGUGGAGACUGUUGCUUUUGAGCAGCUAUCACAGACUCCAUCAAUGUCGUGAGUUAGGCGAUCUCAUUCUUCAGCUUUCUAUUGUCUUUCUCUAGAUGCUCCAUUCUUCUCAAAUGAUUAGCUCGAGUGUUGUAGUGGUUAGUCAGCUUGGUUGAUACACAAAAGAAGAACUGAUAAGACACCUGACGGAAGAAACCAGUUAUGCAAAUGAUGCAUGAAAUGCAAUGUUUUUUAUUUUAAGGAACACAUGAAGUCUUAUUUGCAAAUAUAAUAAUAAUCAAUAAUAAUAAUUUGAUUGACCAUAAAAUCUCUUUUUAUUCAUAAAAAUUGGAAGGAUUACACCGAGUAAAAUCUCAGAAACAAAAAAAAUACAAAAUACAAGAGAAAAGGAAACUAUGAUCCUAAGGACCCAUAGUAAAUGCAUCAGAUGAUCUGGCUAUGGGAGUGUACUUCUUUCGGAUGCAUUGAAUCUCAGACUCAAAGGAUGUCUAUCUGAGCCUUCUCGAGGACGAGCUGGUCAAUAAUCUUCUUCCAAGCACCAGAAGGAUGAGGCAUACUGGAGGAAAAUGAAUCCUCUGGCUCCCUCUAUCUUUUUACGGCACGCUUUUCCAGAAUCUCAAUAAGUGCAUCUUUGUCUUUUGACUCAAGUUGCAACUCUUCAUGCUUUCAACUCAAAGCAUGGAACCACUUUUCCUAUAUGUCUUUCUCUUGCUUCAUCUUAGCGAGGGCGUCUUCCAACUCCUCUACAUCUUGGUUAGGGAGAGUUUAUGGCUCAGCCACAACCAAAGGCAUAGGUCUUUCACAAGCAUACGUCAUCUUAAGCUCCAAAGCUCUUUUCUUCAUCCAAAUAGUGUAAGCUUCCAAAGCUAUACCGUUACAUGGACCAAGCUUAGAUCUUCCUUUCCUAUGUACAUUAUGCCAAGCACGUAACAUUCUAUUCUUCAAAAGAUAGGAAUCUUUACCCUCCUGAUAGAAUAGAUCUUCUAGCUGAACGUUAUUAGGCUUAUCUCUCAAAGGGAACCCAAGUUGAUGACGGGCCAAAGCAGGGUUGUAGUUGAUUCCUCCUUGCUUACCAAUGAGAGGCACGUUAGAGAACUCACCGCAAUUGUCAAUAACAUCCAAGUUACAUAAUGCAGAAUCAUACUAAACAAUAUCAUCAAUAGUGAGAGACAUAAGUCUUUAGGACCACCGUAGACAUUGUCGAUUCUCCAAAAAAGCAGUCGUCCGAGGUAAGUGCGAAAUAAACCACUUGUACAAAAGAGGAACACAAAACACAAUAGUCUCACCACCUUUAGAAUUCCUCAAAUGCAAAGAGAAAUACAUGUCACCCAACAGAGUAGGAACAAGAUUCCCAAUCAAGAAGAUUUUAAUGGCGUUAACAUCAACAAAAUCGUCAAUGUUAGGGAAUAAAUCUAAACCAUAGAUGAGUAGAACAAAAAUAGCUUCAAAAGCAUCCAUGCUACCAGCUUGAGCAAAUACAGUAGCUCUACUAAUGAGGAACUCAGAAGUCAAACCAAGAAUACCCCAUUUCUUCAUCAAGUGAGCAUCAAUCUCAUAUUUCUUCAGAUGAAGAGCUUCAACUAUAACAUAAGAUCUGGGAAUCUCCUUCAAUCCACUGAAAGGUACCUUGUUGGAUACAGGUAUACCCAAGAGAUCGACAUACUCAUCCAACAUAGGCACCAACUGAUAGUCAGGAAAAUUGAAGCACCGAUAAAGAGGGUCAUAGAACUGAACUAAAACACUUAGAAGUCCUUCAACCACAUCAGUAGAUAACACAAACAAGAGUUUCCUACGACGUUGCUUGAAGUCCAAAGGAUCUAAUACAAAGGAUGACAACUUCCUUAGCUCUUUCAAAUCAGGACAUUUGAAACUGUACUUCUUAGUGUUUUUUCGUCCAUAAUCCAUGGUUUGAAAAUAUUUGCAAAUAAGGCCUUCGUUUCCUUGAAAUUUAUUUUUCUGUGAUGAAUGUCAUGAUGCACAUGUAUGCAUGAAUGCAACAAUCACACACAAGGGAUCACACACAAGGCAAACGCAAACAAAGUUCAAGGGAUGAAUCAAGUCAUCAUCAAGAUCAAUCAUCCAUUUUGGUGGAUUAUGGUUUUCACCUUAUCAACACCCAAGUUCCAUUGAUAUUGAUGGGACUGAUAAAAUCGACCAAGAAUCAAAGGGUUCGUUGUGAGUCACGAGCAUGGAGUCGGGUUAAGAACCAUCCCAAAGGAAUGUACUAAGGAUAAAAACCUUUAGAUCAUGUUCUAAAAAGUUCCCAAAGUCUUGAUCCCAUCAAUCGAAUAUUAUAGGUUAGGAUGACUAACUCACUAACCCAUAAUAUUCUCAAGAGAAACUCGUCUGAGUGUAGUAUCGCGUAACAACUGUUAUCAAGUCUACACUUGAACGGUCUCCGCACUACGUCCUAAAUAGACCAAGUUAGGUUAAAUGUUAUACGAUCCUCAGCUUCUCGGACUCCUAGGUCGGAAAAAGUAAUGCAUAUCCACGAUUAACUCGAGUGACAUCAAUAAUUCCAAGGGGGUCUCCACUAAGUAGAUGGGUCUCAAUCCAACUCGUUAAGGACUACUCCACACGAGUCAAACAUGACUAUACCAUUCUCCUAUCUUAAUUGCACUCAAGUUCGGGUUAGAACUUAUCUCACCACACAUAGAUCACCAAAUACAGCAGAUAGAAUAUAUCAUAUAAACAAACAUCAAAUAUACAAAUAUACACAUAAAAAGUAGGCUAAACCCACUAAGGGCAUUCCCCAGCAGAGUCGCCACUUAAUUUCUAUAGCGGUAAAUUCAUGACCAUCAAACUAUGGAUAAGCUUGACGUCAGUAAAACUAGAGUCGCCACCACGCUUUUAUUGUUUCCAAAGGGAAAAGGAAAAGUACGAACAAAACCCAAGGAUAAUAAGUUUUCAAAUAAAAAAUAAUAAAAUGUCAAAGAUUAUAGGUAAGAGGGGUGGUUACACAAAGGGAAGAUGUUAGCAUCCAAAGUGUCCUAGGUACUCCUAGGGAACCCUUUUUUGUGUGCAUAUGUUUUUUUGGGUAUAAAUGAUGUUUGAUAAGAUAAAGAGUGUGGGGAUGAGAAAAUAAUUUAUUGAUUAUAUUUUUGUGUUUGACAAGACCUUCGGUCUUAUUCCUACGUACCAACAUGAAAAUGAGGGAUAAAAACCCCGUAGUUCGUGGUAAAAAUUUCAAAGAAGUUGGUGAAUUAAUUUUAACAAAUGUUUAAAUGAAAAGGCACAAUAGGCCAAAUAUUUGAAUGGGGUUGUUAGUUCUUUUUGUCUUUUUGAAAUUUAAGUCAAUAUGGUUAAGUUAAUUUACAAGUUUGAUUAAGAAAAAGUUUGAAAAUGCAUUGGCAUAAGGCCAAAGUUUCUAAUUAUUAAAACAUGUCCAAGUUUAAAAUCACAAGCAAAGAAAGUUUUUGAAAAGAGGGAGAGAUUUUGAAAUUUAAGAAAUGGGAGGAGAUGAAGAGACUACCCUAAGCAAACAUUAAAAGUUUAAGAGUUGAAAAGAUCUGACCAAUGGGAUGCAAUCCAACAGACAAGAAUGUCAUAUAAAAACCCAUUUUUCCUUUGGACUUUGAUAAGCAAUAAGCAAUAAGCAAUGAGCAAUGAGCAAUAUCCAAUCAUCAUAUGAAGACUAGGGCAUCAAAUAAAGAUAGCCAUAAUUUCCAAACAAAUAUUCCAAUAGCUGCCAGUCUUCAGUGUCUUCCAAUGUAUCAGAUGAAAUAUUCCUUGAUCAACUCAGAACGAAACAUCAGAUAUAGACAAUAAUAACAAAAUGACUAUUAAGCACAAAGACAGAGUAACAAAUGAAUCAAAGGCACUUAAGGUCUUGCAUCAUAUGAAGGCACAAGCAAAGAUGGCCCAGUCUAAAAUGUUGGCAUUGGCCAAGUCCUUUAGCAUAGGGAAGUUGCCUACUUCUAAGUCCAAAAGUUCAGAUCAAGUCCAACAGUCCACCAACAUAUUUUUUAGGGGGUUUUAUUAUUAUUAGGUGUUUUAAGGUCCUAAGACCACAAAUAAAACAAAAGACAAACAAAAAAUAUACAAUCACAAGAUAUGGCUCAAAUGAGCAAAGUGAAAAGGACUUGAAACAUAAACAAGUUGCAUGAAAUGUAAAUGGCAAUGAAUGAUAAAGGUACUUGAAAUUUAAAGUGCAUAAAGUAAAUGACUUGAAAGUAAAGCAACAUUAAUAAGCAUUAGUAAAUGGUUAAUCAAAUGUUAGUGGUGAACUUUAACUGUUAAGUCAUUCUUUGAAGAACACUCAACCAUUCAUUCACAAGUAUGAAUCCUUGAACCAAGACGUCAUCCAUGAGAAGAGCUUCAACUUGGAUAAAUCAACAAGUAUGCCACUAGCUCUCAUGAAUGGAAAAAAAGUCAAGUUCUCACACAAUGCCAUGAAGAAUGGGAGAUUUACAAUCUCACUUACUAGAAUGAUAUGCUUUGAGGGACAAAUUUAACUCUAUGUUAAGCAAUGGUAAUUGGGGGAGAAAUAGGUGUUAAUGCAUGUUAGAGACUUGGUACAAAAAACCAAACUCCUAAAAUAUACCACACAAUAAAAGAAAUAGGGGGAGAACCUAUCUCAGUCUGGCUCAUGUUGAUUCACCUGACACAAGGUCAUUGAUGAAUCAACUAGCAUAAGACAUGAAGAGAUUUCAUUGGUCAAUGAGGGAUUGAGAAAGAAUAUGGAUGAAGAUGAAGAGGGAAGGGGAAAUAGAAACACAAAUUGAUCAUGAGAGGAAUUUCAUCUGAUCAAUACCAUCCAUUCAUUUUGGGAGACAAAAUGUAUAUUUCAUCAAUCCCCUAAAUCCAAUGGUAUUGAUUAAACAAAAGUUAAAUCAACCAUGGCCAAGGCCCAAACAGAGAGUCAAACAUCACAAGACCAUAAAAAUGGCUCAACAUAAUUUUUAAACAUUUAUUCAAUUAAAAAAUCAAUUUAAAAAUGAAUUAAAAUGCAUUUUAAUUUGAAUAAAACCUCAAAUCCCUUCAAAACACCAAAUAAAUGGCCAAGGAGUUUAUCAUAGGUCAAAGGACCUUAGACAAAAAAAAAUCAUGAUUUCUGAAAAGUCAUAAGUAUUUUUAAACAAUUAAAAAUAUGCACAAAAACAUUUAAUUCAUGAAAAUUAUCACAAUUAAUUCAAAAAAUAAUUUUAAUUCAAAAUAUGAAAGAGGAAAACAUUUAAAGAUUUUUGGUGAAAGUCCCAUAUUUUUUUGAUUAAAAAUGAAAUUUUUAUGAAUUAAACAAAAUAAAGGAAUUAAAUAGAAAAUCAGAAAUUAAAAUAAAAUUUAAAAAAACAAGGGUCAUCAGAUCUCCCUCAUUAGUUGAGGUAACAGAUUGAUGGUCACGCGCUAGAGUGCACCAAACACCUCAGUCGACGCGUGCACAUCAAUGGUAAUCAGAAAGAAGGGUUGAGAUUAAAACGUGGACAUGAGAUCAGAAGGUUGGAACCUUGCCAACAUAUCACUAGAGCCCUAGCUCCGGUUGUCUUCUCCGGCGGACCUCACCGGACUGGUCCACCAUCAACCACCACUAAAAUAAAAAGUAAAUACACUGUUUUAAAGAGAAAAUGUCCAUGAGCUCAAAUUUGACCUCAAUUUCUUCCAAUUCCAAGUAUAUUGAAAGAUACAUGGAUUUGAAAUUUAAGGUGCAGGAUCUGAAUUGCUUCGAUUUAACCUCAAAGCAACUCAAUCUUGUUGCCUACAUUGAUAGGACUUCAGCCAACCAAAAUUUAAUCAAAAUAAUAGAGAAUUGAGAGAGAAUCGAAGAAAAGAAAAUUGAGAAAAUCCAUCUUUUGUUUGGCAGUGAUGAAGCUUGAUCUGGAUCUCAAUUGACUUGGCUUGCUUCUAAUUGCUUGCAGGAAGUGAAUGGGAAGCUCAAUUGGCUUGGACUCUCGGAGUUUCAACUUCAAAACAGAAGUGAAUUUGAAACUCGAUUUUCAAUUGAAAACCUUCAAGAUUAUCCUUUAAUGGAGGUGAGGGUGAUUGCAGUUCAAAGCUUGGGUCAAGGGUCCUCAUUCUGAUCACAAGGGCCAUGUAUUUAUAGGGUUUUGCAUUGCUUUUCACACACUUUCCAAAAUUGGUCAAAAAUAGAAAUGUUAGUGCAUGCUUGCAUGAGCGUAUGAUAUGCCCAUGAAAUUAUUGGAAAAGGUCCACAAUUGUGCAUGAAUGAUGCUGAAAACUUAACAUGAGGCCAUGCAAUUAUAAUUGAAGAUUGGUCAUGAAAAUCAUCCAAAUGGGACCAUAAAUAGUAACCAUGUGCAAGUCCUUGUAAAAUGCUUCAGAUGCCAUGAUCUUGGGAUUUUGGAAAAGGUGACAUCAAGAGGAACAACUUUGAUGUUGAACACUUUUUCAUUUGGAGCUUGGAUCAUGAUUAAUUUUGAGGUGGAAGUUGGAGAAAUCAAACAUAAUUGAAAAUUUUCUAAGUACAAAGUCAAAUGACCACUUCUUCCACCUUGAAUAACUUUUUCUAUGAGCUCCAAAUGAAAAUGAUUUCUUCACCAAAGUUGUAUCUAUUUCACCCAUCUUCAAUCUGAUCACAAAUUUGACAUCAUUUGGAUUUGUCAUAAGGGAGUUAUGCAUUUUAUAAGUUCAGGAAAAUUGCUUGUUAAAUGAUGAUGGUCCAAAAUGACCUAUAAUGUUUUCUCUUGGCACAUGCACUUGCAAGUUGAAUUUGACAUUUCUAAAAGAAUCAAAGUUGGAUAAGACAUCUUGAAAUUGAUCAUGAAACUUGGAUAUACUUCAUGUCAUAAAAUUUGAGCAAGUUAUGGUUCUUGGAAGUUGACCUCCUAACUAGGGCACAAACAAAAUGACCUAUAAUCUUUCACCAUAAAAAAUGACUUUCCAAGCAAAACUAGCUCUUGAUUCCAACACGAAAGUUGUUUGGAAUGUCAUAAAGAGUAACUUUUCUCUUGGAAUCAUUUUUAUAGACAAAAAUUGUAGGAGAUAGGGUCUAUGGAAUCCCAAUUUUGACUAGUUGACUUUCUCUAUUCAACCUCUUUGAACCAACUUGCAAUCUUGAAGUUCUCUUGAUCUUUAGAGCUAAUGGAGGAUCAUAUAUGCAUAAUAUGAUGUAUAAUGAAGUAUCCCUUGAUAUAUUUGACCAAAUGUUAAAGAAACUUGAUGAGGAAGUCACACAAGAUACCCAGAUGAACUAGGGCUUACAAGGCAAACUAGCUUCAAACUCUUGAUGAACUCUUAAUCAAAAUGACAAAUAAAGAACAUGGGGAUCCAUAUAUUAUGUUUAGAACCAAUGGUGAACCAUUCCUUGAUUAAUUUCUUAUUAUGAGGGUCUCAAACCCUAGUUGUGAGCUUGAUAAGGCAUAAGUGGAUGCACAUACUACCUACAAUAGAAGCAAAACUAUACAUAGACAUAUUUUUGGUAUUUUGGUUAGUAAACAAAUAAAAAUAAAGUAUGAUACAAUCAAGUGUGUUUGGUGAUCUCUCCCAAUGCAAACCCAAUGAAUGAGGGAUAAGGAUGAUCUCAAUGUGUGACCCCAAAGCCAAUGCAAAUGAUGAGACAUCAUGAAAGAUCUUAGGGUCAAAAUUGGGGUCUUACAAUGUGUUUCGUUCAAGUUCAUCAUCCAAUAUGAACAACUUGCAACUUGACAUUAACUUAGAAUUUUGACAUUUCCAAUAUCUCUGUGUAAGGUUUUCAAGUGAAUUUGGGAUAAGCAAUUUCAUUGAUCUAUUGCAAUCAGAUACUGGAAUUUAAAACAGAUUAAAGUUAGCAAUUGAGAAAAAAGUCAUGGAUGUAUGUGUAAAUGAAGAAUAAGGUAACAAUAGUGACUUUGAGAAAAAGAAGAUGAAGAGAGAGGAAAGAAGUUGCAAAAUAAAAACAAUUUUAAAUUUUAUCCAUUCUUUUAAUAAUCCACAUGCUGUAUUUCCACGUGUAAUAAUAUGUAUCAACAUACAAAUUUGAAAAUCAACUCAACAUCUUUAAACACAUACAUUUUUUUAAACCAAAAAUUGAUGUUCGAGAAUAACACCAACAAAAAAAAAUUUAGAAACCAAAACAAAAAACACUUGAACUUAUUUAAGAAUAUGAAAAGAGUAUAGUUUAUUUAUUAUUUAUAUCUAUUUCAUUAGUUAAUUAACCCUCCAAAAUGAAAAUAGAAAUAUAGAAGAGAAGAACGGAUAAGAAAAGGUGGCACCGUGAUCGUUGGUUCUAAAUUCAAUCAAAUGGGUUUCAGUUUGACACACACACCUCACACCACUGCUUCCCCCAAUCUUCAACUCCGAUUUCACUCUCUUCUUCCUCCUUCAUUCACAUCACAACCGUUUCUCUCUUUGCAUUCCACAUUUCCACCAAAACGCACCGUUCCAAAACUUCGCGCUCAAUCCGAAAAUGGAGCUGUUCUGCAAGCUUCUGAGGAGAAGCUCGAUGCUUCCAAUUACGGAAGACAGUACUUCCCUCUCGCUGCUGUUAUAGGCCAAGUAAUUAUUCUUUUUAUUUAUUUAUAAUGUUUUAAUUACUUGUUAUUAUGGAAACAUUAUGAAAUUGGAAUUUGUUUAGUUUGCUUUUACGAUUCAUGCAUCUGUUUAUUUCAUGAAAUGAUUGAAGAGGAGAUGAAAAUGAUGGAGAUAUAACAAUUGAUUAUGUGUUUUGAAAACCUUUCUGAUUUUUUGAAGGGUUUAGUGGUUAGAUAUUUGAAUUUGAGUUGAUUUUUUUUUGUUUUCUAUUGAAGGAUGAGUUUUGCGAAUUGUGGUUGUUAUGCAGGAUGCUAUUAAAACUGCUCUUUUACUUGGGGCUACUGACCCUAGGAUUGGAGGGAUUGCUAUAUCAGGAAGGCGGGGAACUGCUAAAACAAUAAUGGCGCGUGGAAUGCAUGCAAUUCUUCCGCCUAUUGAAGUUGUACAAGGUUCCAUUGCCAAUGCAGAUCCCUCGUGCCCUGAAGAGUAAGCUCACUGGCUUUUUCCUUUUCUUUUUGAGAUAAAUGUCAACUUUGGAAUUUGGAGAGUUGAGAAAUAAAAUAACUUUAUUAAUUUAGCAUACUGAGGAAGUGGGAUGAAGCAAUCUUUGUUGAACCCCUUUCUUAUUUUUACUGUUGAGUCUUUUUGUUUCAACAAGCUCAUUGAGCAAGAGUUAACAUUUGUAGGUGGGAAGAUGGUCUUUACAAACGCGUGGAAUAUGAUUCUGAUGGAAAUGUUAAAACUCAUAUCAUCAAGUCUCCUUUUGUUCAGGUACUGUUCAGAGAAUAAGCUUUCCAUGUAUGUGAUUAAGUUCUAUCAUCCAAGAUUCAUUCCGAUAAUCAUUUGUGAAGAUAUUUUUUUUUUCCUAUAAAUCAUCAUAUAUUUGUUUAUGCUUCAGAUUCCUCUUGGAGUCACAGAGGACAGACUCAUUGGAUCAGUUGAUGUUGAGGAGUCUGUGAAGACAGGCACAACUGUUUUCCAACCAGGCCUACUCGCUGAAGCUCAUAGAGGUGUUUUAUAUGUUGAUGAAAUUAAUCUUUUGGACGAGGGUAUCAGUAAUUUGCUCCUUAAUGUACUGACUGAAGGAGUAAAUAUUGUUGAAAGAGAGGGAAUCAGCUUUAGGCACCCAUGCAGGCCCCUUCUGAUUGCUACCUAUAACCCUGACGAAGGUUCUGUUCGUGAACAUCUGCUAGACCGCAUUGCAAUUAAUUUGAGGUACUGCUGUAAUCUACAAUUUCCCCCUUCAGGAUUCUUUUUUAUUUUCCUCCCCUUACAAGAUAAGUCAAAGAUUGAGUGUGGUGAUGAGGCAAGUAAGCUACAUAAUUUCAUGAAAUUAGAAAAAACUUCAGUAUUAAAUGCCAAAUAUUUUUGUUAACUAAUAAAAAGUUAUUGAAUGGUUAAAAAAUCCUUGACCCAAUACUUUGUUAAUCAGAUGACUUAUCAAAAUUUGAUCAUCUUUCUUGUUUCUAAUUAUACACUCCUCUGCAGUGCAGAUCUUCCAAUGAGUUUUGAAAACCGUGUUGAAGCUGUUGGAAUUGCAACAGAAUUUCAGGAUAACUGUGGCCAAGUAUUUAAAAUGGUUGAUGAGGAUACAGACAAUGCAAAGACACAGGUAUGCUUAGGAGUGUAAUAGGGAUCAUAUGGGAAAAGUGAAGAACGGAUAGUAAACAAUAGGUUUUUUUAUUGAAUAUCACUCUCCUCCCUGAAUCUGAAUCAAGAUGAUUGCAAAAUCACCAGGGAGGAUGGAAGAACACAAGUUAUAGAUAGGUACACAUAACUCCUGGAUAUUUGAGAGUUCCCUCACUCCCUUGCAAACUCCGCACCAAAUCCAAUCGGAUCUCUGUUAUUUACGACAUAUAUGUUGUUGGUUCUGUAUUUCUUCUCUAAUUUGGUUGUGAUCUUUAGCUAACUGUUAAAACAGUCGUAACUUGAACUGGCCAUGGUUUUUACAAUAGGAACUAUCCAAAAUUCUAUUCCCCUCUGCUCAUCCUUAUUCUGCCAAAGAAACACCUUUUUAACUGGGUUCUGCCAACAAGAAAACAAAGAGUAAAGAAGAGUAGCCUGAAGCCUAAACUAUGCUCACAAUAAAUAAAAUUACUUAGACUUAAGAGUUACAAGCCACUGUAAGACUGGCAAGUAUGAUUGUAACUGUUGAGAAAUGUGGUUGGGCCUAACUCAACCCUACAAAAGUAACCAUCAUGCAUAGCUUCACAUCCAUAAUGUCAUUUCCACGAUGUAAAUUCUGGUUAAGAUAGAUGGCGAGGACUACAUGAUUUUAUCCAAAUCUGGGUUUUUGGGUCAGGUCUCAGAACAAACAAUGCAGUCGAGUCUCCCAGCUGAGACUUUGUAAAACUUACGACGAAAUUACUAAUUUUACAAUAUAUAUGUUAGCUUGGUAUCUGCUUUUCGAAUUCCUUUUGUCUAUUUUAUUUUGGUCUUUUGUUAUAUAGUUAAUGGAACUUCCGAGUUUACAGCUUUUAUUCCAUAUCCCAUAAUAUAGGAUUUGCUGUGUAGAUUGACAGAAACAGUUGUAUGACUUAAUAAUUAUGAAAUGCAGAUCAUCUUGGCUAGAGAGUAUCUCAAGGAUGUUACUAUUAGCAAAGAACAAUUAAAAUACCUGGUUAUCGAGGCUUUACGAGGUGGUGUCCAGGUAAAUUCUCUAUAGCAAUUUUUUUGAUUUGGCAGAAGUUUUUUUUACGGUAAAUAUGAUGUACACUACAGAUAUCCAUUGAUUGUGAACUUUGGUCAAUUCUUUUUGUUUCUUAAGGGAAGUAAUUUUUCUACUGUCUAAUAAAGUAAAUCACCAAACAAAUAUCUCAUUCUUCUGCUAAUCGAAAGUAAAUACAUUCUUUGAACUUUCUGCCACAUGCUUCAGAGUUCAGAUGAUCUCAUAAUUCCUUAUAUCACGUGUUAAGUUCAAAGGUAGAUCUUUACCACCAAAUCUCUUUUUGUUUGAGAGGGCAUCUAAAUCUCUCUUAAUGGUUUGACGUACAGUCUUUCUUGAUCUCCCUCUACCUCUAACUAUGAGCCUAUCUUUAAUCUAGCUCAAACCAAUCAAUGAGCAGGACAAGAAAACAUUGCCUCAAUAAUUGAUCAUUAUGUAUUUUUCUCAUCUACUAACUGUGUUUAGGAGACUAUAACUGCAAUAUAAAGUUUGGAAACACAAGAAUAUCAUGUAUAAUUUAGGCUAAAGAAGGGUUAUAAUUUUAAAGGAAACAUUCAGGAUUCUUUCUUCUCUACCACUCCUUAUUAUGCCGACCACUUCAUUGAGGUCAUUAAAUGCCAUAUAUUUUUAAUUCCAUAACAAGGUAUUAGAACUUGUAUCUAUAUUCAAAUAAAGUAGGAUAAUUAAGAACAUAAAUUGUAGGAUAAAUCCUCUGCAAAAUGGUCUUAAAACUGAGGAUAUAGAUGUAUUAUUGCAAUCGCACACCAGAACAUAAAGGAAAAUCUGUAGAGACAAGGAUGGUUAUGUUACAAGGACAUUCCCUUCCAAGAUUCAAGAGCUUGGUCUCUCCCUCCCAAUCCUUAAUCCAAAUAACCAAUAACCUCCUUUUCCAUAACUUUCUUAUUUAUUACAAUUCUGAAAACACAAAUGCUAUCACACAAGCAUAACUGCCUAACUACCUAGUUAAGCGACUGCCCUAACCUACAUGGUUCUCCUAUGCUAUUUAUUAAUGACUUGUGGUCUAACACAAGCUUUUCUUUCUCUGAAACUGUUAUAUGAUUUAGUAUUUGAUCGUAAUAUAUUUGCUGUCAUCACAUUUGAAUACUUGUUAUGGACUGCAGGGACACAGAGCUGAGCUGUAUGCUGCUCGUGUUGCUAAGUGCUUAGCUGCUCUGGAGGGACGUGAAAAGGUUUAUGUGGAUGACCUUAAAAAAGCCGUAAGCUUUCUUUGAAAUUUAAAUUCUCGUCUCUGCAGUUCUUAUAGCAUCCUCCUAGGAACAUAACUACUAAGCGUCAAUAGUUUGAAGCGUGAAGGUUUCUUUCUUCAUAGCUUUCCUGCUACCUACGAACAAUAAGUGGUCAAUAUUUAGUUUGUGUUCCACAUUUAAAAUAUAAAUUUGUCUAGUUACUUUAAUUUGUUUCAGUUAAAUGCGAUGUAGAUGUAGCUCAAUAUUUACCACUAAUUGUUUAUAGUGAUGAUAGCCUCAUAAAAAGGAAGGGCAACAAAACAAUAAUAUCCUUGAACUAUGCAUUCAAAAGAUUCAUAAUUUGAUUUUGCUAUUAUAGUGCUAUAUUUGCAAAGUCAUGUAUUUGGAACAGGCUAUGCAGGUUGCUAGUAUUACUAAAAAUUUGGUUAAAUAUAAUUUUAUCACUUCUGCCUUCUGUUUUCGAGCUUUGUGAUAUUCUGUUUCUGUGAAGUGAAAAAAAUAUAAAAUUUUAAAUGAAAUUUAUUUGAGCUCAAAUAAUUUCCCAACUCUAAAAUUACUGACUACAAAUCAGAGCAUCUUUUAGUAAUUGGACAAUAAUUUGAUCCUUAAUUGUGUAUAUUAUAAUGAAGGAUAGCAAAUCAAUAUUCUUUGACUUAAUAUAAAGAUUUUUUCUUUAUUUUAGAAGAAUGAGAUGCUGAAGUUUAGGGUUUUAUCCCAGUUUUAGCACCACCUCUGUGUCUCUCUGCGUGCAUGUGUGUUUGUAUGUGUGUGUGUGAAAGAGAGAAAGAGAGAGACAAUCACUGUAAAAUGAUAUGAUCAAACUUGAUCUUGGUUAGGCCCUUUAUAUGUAUUUAUGCUCAAGAGUUUUGAUCAAGUACAAGUGGUUGUUAUUACUUUCUGAAAUUAAAGAGUCUGUCGGAUAAAUUGUUUUUUGUAUACUUUGUAAUACAGGUAGAAUUGGUCAUUCUUCCCCGGUCAAUCAUUACCGAUACUCCACCUGAGCAACAAAAUCAACCUCCUCCGCCACCACCGCCUCCACAAAACCAAGAAUCUAAUGAAGAACAGAAUGAAGAGGAAGAACAAGAAGAAGAGGAAGAGGUUAAGUUAAAUCACUUUUCAGAAAGUUAAACAAAAAUAUGAGGACAUUUUUUAAAGUAAAAAACUUUUGCUCAUUCACAGGAGACCAUGCCAAGUACAGUGGGUUUCCUAUCUUUUGAAACAAAUGUUUAUAUAUGGACUUAUUUGCGUAAUUGUUAUUAAUAAUAAUGUUUUGUAAUAAUUCUCCUAAAUCUAAACACCUACUUCACUGUACCUAUAUAAUUUGAAUAUUGUCUCUCUGAACAGGAUGACAAUGAUGAAGAGAAUGAACAACAGCAAGACCAAUUACCUGAAGAAUUUAUCUUUGAUGCUGAAGGGGGUUUGGUGGAUGAAAAACUUCUCUUCUUUGCCCAACAAGCACAGAGACGCCGUGGGAAGGCUGGAAGGGCAAAAAAUGUCAUAUUUUCAGAGGACAGAGGCCGAUACAUCAAGCCAAUGCUUCCAAAGGUACUCCUUACCCCAUUUGUUUGUUCUACAAGUGAAAGUUAAAACAUCAAAUAUAAUUUUAGCUGGUUUGCUGUUUAUAAUUUUUUCUUGAAACUUCGGCAAGCACCAAUAGAGUAUAUAGUCAAAUGAUUUGAUUGGUUCAUAUCAACUUGCAUUUAUGUCACGGUAUUCUAAUUGAAUCACAUUUACAAUUCCCGCUAAAUAGUUAUCUUUGAUCAUCAAGACUAUUUCACUUUCAUUACAAUUUCAAGUUGUAUGUUUUUCCCCCACUAAAUGAAGCCACUGUUUGCAGGGUCCUGUAAAGAGAUUAGCAGUUGAUGCAACCCUUAGAGCUGCUGCACCUUAUCAAAAGUUGCGAAGGGAAAAAGACACCGAAAACCGUAGAAAAGUAUAUGUUGAAAAAACUGACAUGAGGGCAAAGAGAAUGGCGCGUAAAGCAGGAGCAUUGGUACUGCUAUUCUUCUCUUAUAUUCUCUGCCAUCUUCAGUCUUCACUUUUAUUUUUAAAAACUUUUAAGGCUGCAUACACGUUAAUGGCUAUAUAGUUAACAAUUGUUGCAUCAAACUUAAAAAAAUAUGGCUGAUGUUGACGUUAUGCAAAGCCUCCUUAUUUGGUUUAGACUCUUGGUGUCUUACUGUCUAUACCAUUGAUAAUUAGUGAUUAAUCCAUUCUGGUUUUCUUAUAGGAUUUAAAUGUUAAUAUUUUUGCAUCAAUAAUUUUAUUUUACUGACCAUGGAAUAUAAAAUCUCCUGUUUGCUCUGACAAUACUUACUACAUAAUAUUGAAUUGUUUGUGAUCAAGCUUUUAUACUAUUUAAAAAAUAAUAAUCUUAAUUAUUGUAGGUCAUAUUUGUGGUUGAUGCUAGUGGAAGCAUGGCAUUGAACAGAAUGCAGAAUGCAAAAGGUGCGGCACUUAAGCUUCUGGCAGAAAGUUAUACAAGCAGGGAUCAGGUUUGUAUGUGACAUAUUUUUUAACAAUUAAUGUGAAUUUCUUUAUAAUUGAAUGGUUAAUGAAAAUGAGGCUUUAUAUCAUUUCAGAAAUUACAUGUGCCAAUCCACCAUGUGAGUUUUGUAUAAAAAUUAUUAGACAGAACAUGAAAAAACAAAACUUUCAUUAUUCAAAUAACACAUAUAUACCCACUUAAAGAGAAUUGUCACUGUCACCUGAGAACUCAAGCAGUUUAUAAAUUAUAACAAUUCUUUACUUCCUUGCCCGUGCCUAAGGUGGUACCUGUUAUUUUCAGGGUUAACCUGUGCAUAGCUGGUUAUCGAUGCAUAUAUUUGCAUAAUUGCAAUUUCUCGAACCAGAAUCAGAGUUUUAGAAUAGAACAAUUACAAUAAGUUUGAUUUCUUUAUAUGAUUCAUUAUAUAUAUACCUAAUCUAAACACAUCAAUCAGAGUUUAAGUGGUGAUAUUUGUUGGACUUAACAUAAAACAAGAUUCAUUUAUUAUGAUACUGUCUCCAUAAUAUUAUUACUAAUAAUUACUAUGCUUGUUAAAUAGGUAUCUAUAAUUCCAUUCCGUGGAGAUUCUGCAGAAGUUCUCCUACCACCUUCUAGAUCAAUUGCAAUGGCAAGGAAACGUCUUGAAAGACUGCCAUGUGGUGGAGGGUCGCCCCUUGCACAUGGUCUUACCACAGUAUGCAGAUUUUUUAAGAUAUCUUGUUUAGUAUAGUAAUAUAUUUAAAUUUUAAAAUUUAAAACAAACUCAAGUUCUACUGAGGUCAAAUUAAAAAAAUUAUGGGUUGCUUAUUAUGUUAAUCUUGUUUUUAAUAUUUUAAAUGGUGAUUUCAAGCUAUUGACAUUUUUAAGGAAUUGAAAUUACCACUAAUGUGGAAAUGACAAUGUCAGCUUAGAUCUUUGCUGGUAUUGUAUUUUCUGAUUAAGAAAUGUUAAUAUAAUUUCAUAUGUAUAUUCCUCUUUAUAUCAGUUUGGUCUUUCAUGAAUCAGAUAUGGGCUUUGUUCCCCAAAAUAUAUCUUUUGCUGAAUCUUCUUAACCUUAUUCUUCUUCCUGAAAAUGCUUAGGCUGUUAGGGUUGGAUUAAAUGCAGAGAAAAGUGGUGAUGUUGGACGUAUAAUGAUUGUUGCAAUCACUGAUGGUCGUGCCAACAUAUCAUUGAAAAGGUCAAAUGACCCUGAAGCUGCUGCCGCUAGUGAUGCCCCUAAACCUACAUCGCAAGAAUUAAAGGUACAACUAAGCUUUGUAAUUAGACACGUUAAGAGACAUCCGAAUGAGAUGAACAAUUUCCUUAGUAACCAAGGAAAUGAGAAUUUAAACCUUUAACUUCGGUUUUAUAUUUGGUGAGGAGCCUACUUAUGGGUGAAACCAUUUUUAUUGAAUUCAAGACAAGUAAUACCAUAAAUAUAUACUUAACAUCAUUCCUUUGAGGUUUCAAUAUCUAUUUUACAACUUUGAGAGGUUUGGCAAAUGUUAACAUAUUAGACGCCGCACAUUCUGUUGUUUUCUUAAUCUCCUCUUAUUGAGAGGAGAAUUUGUGUUAUUUUCUCUAUUUUUUUAAUAUGCAUUACUUUCAUAAUUCAUCCCAGUCUUCCUAAAUGUUCAGUUCCGACUUCUCUCAGUCUGAACUAACUAUUUUCUUUGUUUUAAUGAAGGAUGAAAUUAUUGAGGUCGCUGCGAAGAUAUAUAAAACAGGAAUGUCUCUCCUUGUCAUCGACACUGAAAACAAGUUUGUGUCAACUGGUUUCGCUAAAGAGAUUGCUAGAGUUGCUCAAGGUUUGUGUACUGUUAUUUUAUUAAAUAAAUGUAUUUAGUUCUGGAACAGAAGAAAACUGGGUUCAUAAAAUAAACUCAUACUGCAGGGAAGUAUUAUUAUUUGCCAAAUGCUUCUGACGCAGUUGUCUCGUUGGCAACAAGGGAAGCUUUAGCAGCUCUGAAGAGUUCAUGAAACUGAAUGAGAAGCAACCAAUCUUGACACCCCUCCCAAUUUUUGUUACAUAAUGUUAUUGUAAAUUGCGCAACUAUAAAUGUCUGGUGGGAAGAAAGCAUACUCUUAUAGCAAGUUCCAUUAUUUCCUAUUUUCGAUGAGAUUUUGUUUUUAGUUUCUGUGUGGAUUGUUGUAAGUAUAAAUUUCUCUUACUAGUAGACUCUUCGAAGUCAGUCACUAACUGUUAGGAGGGUGGACUCGGCUGGACAAUUAAUUUUCACACAACUUUAUAAAUAAAUUAGAAUCUUUUGUAAAAG